CGGGUGCAUGCGCUCAUCCUUCUGCUUCCAUAGACACGAGAAGAUUGCUGUUUAGUCAAACCCAGAGCCAUAUAGAGACCUUCCCUAAUCCUCUAAAUGUUACCUUAUUGUAAACUGCUCUAUGAAAUGAGGACAAACAGGCUGCUUGGUGUUCUCCUCAGUGUCCAGAAAAACACAACUUCAAUCCUCGAGGCAGAACAACGUUCACCUCUCUUCUCUCUAAUGCACAACAGCAUGCUCCUUGGGUUUACACAGAACAUUUAAAAAGAAGUGCAAAUGAAAACAAAACACACCCGUGGACUUCAGUCUGCGUCCGCGUCUCAGUGUCCACCCCAAGGGACGUCUUAGGAUCCAUUAAGCAAUUUCGCAUGAGCCAAGAGUGAUGGGGAAUUACCAUGGGCGCAGCUAAAUCGCUGUGGGGGGAAAAACUAAUAAACCACAGGGCAAGUUCUGCCCUUGCU